rnacentral:tRNA from 3 species
GGUGUGCUGGCGCAAUGGUAGCGCGUAGUCCUCCUAUUGCUACCCGCAACAGGGAGAUCCAGACUAAGGCUCAGGGUUCGAGUCCCUGGUACAUCG